ACCGCGGUAGCCCAGUUGGUUAGGGCGUCGGCAGUACUGAUCCCGAAGGUCACAGGUUCAAAUCCUGCCUGCGGUG